rnacentral:rRNA from 1 species
UGCAAGUCGAACGAGAGGACAUGAAAAGCUUGCUUUUUAUGAAAUCUAGUGGCAAACGGGUGAGUAACACGUAAACAACCUGCCUUCAAGAUGGGGACAACAGACGGAAACGACUGCUAAUACCGAAUACGAUCCGAAAGUCGCAUGACAUUUGGAUGAAAGGGUGGCCUAUCGAAGAAGCUAUCGCUUGAAGAGGGGUUUGCGUCCGAUUAGGUAGUUGGUGAGGUAACGGCCCACCAAGCCGACGAUCGGUAGCCGGUCUGAGAGGAUGAACGGCCACACUGGAACUGAGACACGGUCCAGACUCCUACGGGAGGCAGCAGUGGGGAAUCUUCCGCAAUGGACGAAAGUCUGACGGAGCAACGCCGCGUGAGUGAAGACGGCCUUCGGGUUGUAAAGCUCUGUGAUUCGGGACGAAAGGCCAUAUGUGAAUAAUAUAUGGAAAUGACGGUACCGAAAAAGCAAGCCACGACUAACUACGUGCCAGCAGCCGCGGUAAUACGUAGGUGGCAAGCGUUGUCCGGAAUUAUUGGGCGUAAAGCGCGCGCAGGCGGUCUCUUAAGUCCAUCUUAGAAGUGCGGGGCUUAACCCCGUGAGGGGAUGGAAACUGGGAGACUGGAGUAUCGGAGAGGAAAGUGGAAUUCCUAGUGUAGCGGUGAAAUGCGUAGAUAUUAGGAAGAACACCGGUGGCGAAGGCGACUUUCUGGACGAAAACUGACGCUGAGGCGCGAAAGCGUGGGGAGCAAACAGGAUUAGAUACCCUGGUAGUCCACGCCGUAAACGAUGGAUACUAGGUGUAGGAGGUAUCGACCCCUUCUGUGCCG